GCGACACCCCGACCGAGGUCAUUACGAUCGCUUCUGCGGUCUUGCCGUGCUCUCGCCAUAAUCGAGCGGAGUCCAGUGCCAGGGAUCGGCGGUGSCAGAGCCGGAACACUGCCCCUCAGUGACCGUGCUCCACCGUUCCCUCGAUGGGUGCGGAUGUNCCGCGGUGAYGCAUCACGGCUGGCGGCGAGUAGGUCGGUCACCCACCCGACCCGUCUUGAAACACGGACCAAGGAGUCUAACAUGUGCGCGAGUCGACGAGUCUUGAAUAGGCUCGAGGGCGCAAUGAAAGUGAUGGCCUCUCCGAGGUCUUGUUGGGACUCGCAGAUUCGUCUGCGAAGCACCAACGACCCGACGAUWCCCUUACUAGGGUUCGCCGGAGUCUGAGCGCACACGUUGGGACCCGAAAGAUGGUGAACUAUGCCCGGGCAGGAYGAAGUCAGAGGAAACUCUGGUGGAGGUCCGCAGCGGU
rnacentral:rRNA from 1 species